AAAACACAGCAACCUGUCGUUGUGCCUCGCCAUGCGGUGCUGGGCCACAGCCAGCCAGGCAGGGAACAGCAUGAGCCCAUGCAGCAGCAAGGAUGGUGCCACAGCUUGAGGAGGACCCCGGGAUGCUGGUGGUGGGUUUGAUGCGAUGUUUAACAGCAGCGUUUAAAAAGAGGAGUUGCCAUGGCAACUGCUACCCGGGUUUCUUGUGCUUUGGCACAGGGAAGUGCUGGCAGUGUGUGUGCCCAGCCAGGGCACAGCGGUCCCGCUCCUCUGCCCAUGGUGCCUGCUCUGCUCCAGGGCAUCCAGAGGGUCCCCAAAGCCAAGCUGGCACUUAAGCUAUGGCUUCCCUUAGCAAACCUUUCCCUGCUUUCCAGGCAGGAACUGGGGGCAGGAGCUGAUGCUCUGAGUUAAACAGGGACCUGGUUCUGCAUCAUCCGGAACAGCUCAGUGGAGGGGACAGUCAGCAGCUGCCCUGAGCACAGGGCACGUGUCACCAGGGAGUCAGUUUAAGGGCUAUGUGAUGUUUUGGAAGGAGAUGUGAAACCGAGAGGCAAAAAUCUUCUGAGAAGUAAAUGGCUUGGAAGAGAGAGGCAAGAACAGACGUGUGAGCUCAAUUACAGCCCUUGGAUUACAAAUAUUCUCCCACAAUCCCUCCAGAAGGAAAUGCAUCUUGUCUCUGCAAUUAAAUAAACUGUAUCAAGAGGAGGGAAGAGGAUUAAACUACAGAAGAAAGAAUUGCUUCAACUUGACUGUGGUGGCCCCUCUCAUCCUCCUGACCAGCUACCAGCGCUCGAAGGAGAAGGAUCCCUGCUCAGCACGGUGCCAUGGCAAUGCAAAUAUUCCUUAGGGAACUGGCGGUUGGCUUCCUUCCAAAGCGCUCGGCAUCUGUAAUGCAGCACUUGCCGUGUUAGGAGAAUCUAAUCAGCCCCUUCCUGCAGUAUUUAUGGCAGAGCACACCUGUAUGUUUCUGCUCCGCGAAGAUGCAGCCUCGGCACUUCUGAAGGGUUUUUUCCUUCCCUGCUUACUGAGCACAGAGACAAAAUUGAGGCAUUCACACGUUUCCCCCGGGAGCGUGACUGAAAGCGUGGAGCGGGGCGAGACGUGCGGCUGCACAUGCAGAGCGGUGCCACGGGUCAAGUGCUGGCAAGUGGCACGCAGAGGGAAGGGAGCUUGGCCUCGGCAACGCAGGGAUGUCAAGCAGAGGUGAGAACGAUGUGGUCCCGAGGGAACAGCGAGAUGUGGGGCUGGAAUAGCUACUGAUGAGCCUUUUAGCUUCUGGGCCGGAGAAGUUUGCCUCUGGAGAGCUCGGAGGGAAGGAGAAGCCAGUGUCUCGCUGUGUGCUGAGCCUUUCUCU